rnacentral:rRNA from 1 species
GACGAACGCUGGCGGCGUGCUUAACACAUGCAAGUCGAACGGAAAGGCCCUGCUUUCGUGGGGUGCUCGAGUGGCGAACGGGUGCGUAACACGUGAGUAACCUGCUCUUGACUUUGGGAUAACUUCAGGAAACUGGGGCUACUACCGUAUAGGAGACCCUGCUCCAUGGAGAGGGUUGGAAAGUUUCGGCGGUUGAGGAUGGACUCGCGGCUGAUCAGCUUGUUGGUGGGGUAGUGGCUUACCAAGGAUUUGACGGGUAGCCGGCCUGAGAGGGUGACCGGCCACAUUGGGACUGAGAUACGGCGCAGACUCCUACGGGAGGCAGCAGUGGGGAAUAUUGCACAAUGGGCGGAAGCCUGAGGCAGCAACGCCGCGUGCGGGAUGACGGCCUUCGGGGUGUAAACCGCUUUCGCCUGUGACGAAGCGUGAGUGACGGUAAUGGGUAAAGAAGCACCGGCUAACUACGUG